rnacentral:tRNA from 10 species
CUUUGUGAUAUAUUUUUCUAUAUAGCAAAUGGUCUCCUUUGUUUCAAUUAUUUUCUUCUGCUCUGUGACAGGAUGUGUCUAGUCUUUCUUCUAUUUAAUUUGUGUUUUUCUCAAUGUUAUUUGCUCUAUGUAUUGCUUCUGAAGGUGAUUUUAUUGGGCAUGCUUGGUUGACUUUCUGGCAGCUAUUCCACUACCCCCCAUUAUGUAGUAGCCAUAAGGUUUGUAUAUUUGAUUGAUUCUUCUUUUAGUUCCAGGGAUGGAAUCCGAGUGAUCGCUAAGGCAAUUCAUAUAUUUUACCCACCUUAGGAUAACUGGUUUAGGAUUGGACAAACAAUCUCAGCUGCUUCAAUCAGACUCACUUCCUUUCAUUCAGAUGGAAGAUGGGAAAACACAAUGCUAUAGACUUUGGAAUAUUGUAUGGGCUCGUAAUCAGCGUACUGAAUUUCAAGCCAUUCCUUGGCCACUCAAUGGCCACUACUAAAUCACACAACCCACCCAACUGGAGAAUUAAAUCAAAUAUCUGGAGCAAUUUAAUGUGCAUGCAUUCGUGGCCACAAAAAUGAAGAUACAAAUAAGUAGGUGCUGGAUAUUAGACCUUCGUCAGACACAUAGACCAGUGGAACAGAAUAGAGAACCCAGAAAUUAGAUCACUCAUCUUCAACCAUCCAAUCUUCGACAAACCUGACAAAAAGCAAUGGGGAAAGGACUCCCUGUUCAAUAAAUGGUGCUGGGAGAAAUGGCUGGCCAUAUUGUGUCUAGAAUUUAUUCCUUCCAGUGGGUUCUUGGUCUCGCUGGCUUCAAGAAUGGAGCCGCAGACCUUUGCAGUGAGUGUUACAGCUCAUAAAGGUGUUGCAGACCCAAAGAGUGAGCAGCAGCAAGAUUUACUGUGAAGAGCGAAAGAACAAAGCUUCCACAGCAUGGAAGGGCACUUUCCGCUGCUGGCUCAGGUGGCCAGCUUUUAUUCCCUUAUUUGGCCCCACCCACAUCCUGCUGACUGGUCCAUUUUACAGAGCCCUGAUUGGUCCAUUUUACAGAGUGCUGAUUGGUGUGUUUACAAUCCUUUAUCUAGACACUGAGCACUGAUUGGUGCGUUUUUACAGAGGGCUGAUCAGUGCGUUUAUUUUCCUUUAGCUAGACACAGAGCGCUGAUUGGUGCGUUUUUACAGAGUGCUGAUUGGUGCAUUGACAAUCCUUUAGCUAGACACAGAGUGCUGAUUGGUGCAUUUUUACAGAGUGCUGAUUGGUGCAUUUACAAUCCUUGAGCUAGACACAGAGCGCUGAUUGCGUUUACAAUCCUCUAGCUAGAUAGAAAAGUUCUCCAAGUCCCCACUUGACCCAGGAAGUCCAGCUGGCUUCACUUCUCAAUAUGUAGAAAAUUGAAACUGGACCCCUUCCUUACACCACAUACAAAUAUUAAAUCAAAAGAGAUUAAAAACCUAAAUGUAAAACUCAAAACUAAGAAAACCUUGAAAGACAGCUGAGGCAAUACCAUUCGGGACAUAGGCCAUGAGCAAAGAUUUCAUGAGAAAAAUGCCAAAGGCAACUGCAAGAAAACAAAAAAUUGACAAAUGGGACCUAACUAAACUGAAGAACUCUGCACAGCAAAAGAAACUGUCUGCAGAGUAAACAGACCACCUACAGAAUGGGAGAAAAUGUUUGCACUGAUUUACUUUCACAAAGUCAGUUUGUGAAAGAAAAAGAGAACAAGUGGAAUUUGAAAGGCAAUGGCUAAUUUCUUAUGCAUCAGUGAAGACAUUGGAAUCCAAUAGAGUUGAGUGCAAAGCCCACCCUGCCCCAAUUCUGUGCCUAUAAAGACCUCAGGCUCAGCCAGCAGAGAGGAAAAGUGGCUGGAUGUUGAGAGAGGCAGUUUGACUCCAGAGAUGGCAGCUGGAUGUCGGAAAGCAGCAACUUGACUUCACAAGAGAGAGGCAGAGGUGACUUAAUAUCAGAGGAGAGCAACCUGCCCUUCCCAUCCCCUUUCCAUCUCCCCUCUUGCUGAGAGCCGCUCUCGUCACGCAAUAAAAUUCACCACAUUCACCAUCCUUCAAUUUAUAUUUGCGACCUCAUUCCUCUUGGGCACCGGACAAGAAUUUGGGAUGCACCAAGUGUGGACACCCACAAAGGCUGUCACAGUGGCCCUUUGCCAUUGCCAGCAGAGGGCAGCUGCCCCAUGCAAUAAGCCAAAGGGCUGGCUGAGCUGAUAACACACUGCUUUCUGUGGACGGCGGCGGAGCUAAAAGAGUAUUGUAACAUGCCCUCUGGGGCCUUGGGGAACCCCACCUGGAUCCUGCCAAGAGGCCUGCAUGAAGUUUGCUCCUGCCAGCACUAAAGCAGCCAGUUUUUUCCUGCACUCACUCACCUGCACACUUCCUCCUGCGAUGGGUGGGACACAGUCAACCUGAGUGAGCAGAGUUUGCUCAUGCAGGCACCUAAAUUGCUGGCAAGUUCCUGAGCUCAUUCGCUUCAAUUCCCGUACUCAUUUGCAUGGGUGCUCCCUCCCACAAGGGGUUGAACAGGACAGGUUGAGUAAAUGGUGCACCCCUCUUUUGAGUCCCACCAAGGGUCAAGAAAAUAUCCUGCAUCACUUUGUCAACUUAUGCCACUUAAAGGACAUGCUGCCUACUUUAGACUUAUUUACAAGUUUGCAUAAUUUUUAGACAUAGACAACGCCGUUUAUCUCUGCAAUUACUAUCAAUUCUAACCUAGGAAGCACCAAGUUAAUGGCAAUAAAAAAAAAAAGAAUAAACAACUGUUUCCAGCAACAAGGUGACUGUACCAGUAAUUAAUUUAUUGCCUUCCAGAGGCAAAUUCACUAUUGCCUGUUCUGAGAAAAAGAAUCUGGGCCCUUCAAAUAGCUGCCAGAAUGUAAAAACUUGCCAGCAGAUGGUGGUGGAGAGAUGCUGGAGGUGGAAGGGAUUUCAUCCCAGGUCUGGUAUGCUCCCUCAUCAGGCUCUCACAGUGGAACACACCUUCUCCAACACCUGGCUCCUGUUCAGCAGCACCCAGAGACCAUCAGCUUCCUUUUGCACUCCUUUCAGAUAAUUUAGCAGUUGAGUCUCUCUGGAAAAAUCAAUAGCUUUCCAUGACACCCCAGAGGAUGAAUCUCCUGCCUGCCCAAAAGGCAUAUUUUCAGCAAUUUCUUCCAGUACAGCCCCACUGCAACUACUCUGCCACCCAGUGAGAGCCACAUUCUCUUUUCUUUUUUUUCUUUUUUUUAAUUUUUGAUUUCCAACUUUUAAGCUCAAGGGAACAUGUUCAGGAUAUAGAGUGUGCAGUUUGGUACAUAGGUAAACAUGUGCCUUGUGGUUUGCUGCACAGAUCAUCCCAUCACCUAGGUAUUAAGCCCAGCAUCCAUUAGCUGUUCUUCCUGAUGCUCUCCCUCCUCCCAUGCCCCACCCUCCAACAGGCCCUAGUCUGUGUUGUUCUCUCCCCGGCAAUUCCUCAAAGACUUAGAGGCAGAAAUACCAUUUGACCCAGCAAUCCCAUUAUUGGGUAUAUACCCAAAGGAAUAUAAAUCAUUCAAUCAGGAACAUAUACGCAUGUGUACGUUCACUGCAGCACUAUUCACAAUAGCAAAGACAUGGAAUCAACCUAAAUGUCCAUCAAUGAUAGACUGGAUAAAGAAAAUAUGGUACAUACACACCAUGGAAUACUAUGCAGUCACAAAAAGGAAUGAGAUCAUGUCUUUUGUAGGGACAUGGAUGGGGCUGGAAGUCAUUAUCCUCAGAAAACUAAUGCAGGAACAGAAAAACCAAACAGUGCAUGUUCUCACUUAUAUGUGGGAGCUGAGUGUUGAGAACACAUGGACACAUGGUAGUGAGCCACAUUCUUACCCUUUCCAAUAAGGCUUGAAUCUCAUCUUGGUAGGGAGGGAGCAGUCUUACUGGAUGCUGUAUUUCAGCACCAGGGAUUGGAGAACACUCCCUCACUUUUGCAUCAGCUAAUCCUGUACUCUAUAAAAUUCUUUUCAUUUAUUACAAUCCUAUUCCUCCAUACACAAAUCUCCUGUUAAAAUUAAUAACUUUUAUAUCAAACUUCCUCUGUUCACAUUACUGUGUUGGUUUCUCCCUCCUGAUUGGAUCACAACUGAUACAAUUGGGUUAAAUACUUUUUCAUAAAAUAAAUUAUUAAAUCCAUUCCUUUAGUGUGUAAGUAUUUAGAGUUUACAAAUUACUGAGAUUUAAUUCUACAAAUUAUACAUAUUUACAAUCUAGGUGAAGGCACUCAAGAGAUAUUUAAACAUUUCCCCUCUAAGACAUCAGUUUAAAGAAAGACAGAAAGAAAGAAAGAAAGAAAGAAAGAAAGAAAGAAAGAAAGAAAGAAAGAAAGAAAGAAAGAAAACCCUUUGCUAGCACAAAACAGUCCCCAAAACCUUACUGUUGGGGUUGAGAAACUGAUACCUCCUAUGGCACUUUGGAAUGCUGAGUACUUUGAAUCAAAGGAGUUGAAAGACCAUAGAAGCAACUUCAGAACCAAUGUCACUCUGACCUCCUGCUCUUCUGUCUCUUACCCUCUUUCUCCUGCAAUAGUGCAAGGAGGGGCUCUCCCUGAACUUUCCUUAUCUGUCUAAAGAUUGGCCCUCUAGAAAGAAUACACUUGUCAUGAGUGUUUUUCCUGGGAAUCUCAUCAGCCAGGGAAAAGUAAAAGUAUCACAGGGGAGGAAACUGAAAGUUGACAACAUGCCCAGGCAGAUUUUAUCACAGACUAUCGCCUCUUUUUCUGAGACUGUUUAUUACCUGAAAGACCUUUUGUUUGCAUAACAAGACAACCUUUGUUCACCCUGCAUUUUCUCCCCUCACUCUCCCAUAACUUGUGUCACCACCAACCCUAGAAUCCCCAGGCCUGUAUUCCUUUCUUCAGCUCAAGAUGUUAUAUAUGUUUCAAUCAUCUGCCCCCUUUUCAAGUCUCAUAUUUUGUGGGACUCCUAUGUGUAUGCAAAUAAUUAAAAUGUUUUUUUCUCCUGUUAGUAAUUAUCAAACCUUCAGAGGAUAAAGAAAGUUUCCUUUCUCUAUAUUAAUAAUCUCUAGUCCCAACAUUCCAUUCCUCAUUCCCCAGCAUUCACACACACAUUUCCAUGCUGCUUUUCAACAAAAAGUUUUAUUUCCUGCAGUGUAGCAAAAUAACAUGAUUCUAAGUUCUCUUUUAUAAAAUCUGUUAGCUAUUAUAAUUCCUUCACUCACUUUCCCCUUUGUAAUAAAUUUUUCCCCAUCCAUUAAAAUAAUAUGGGCUUAGUAGAAUGCUUAAAAAAUAAAGAUCCACAUGAAAAAUUUAAAGUCAUGUAUAAACAUAUAAUUUAGUGAUAAUUAGUGUUAACAUUUUGGCUCAUUUUCUCUUUGCCUUUGUAAAAUUACAUUAGUCUUGGAUUUGUUUCUUUUCCUACCCCUAUCACAAAAGAUGCUCCUCUUCAUCCAUGGUUACUAUUUUAGUGUGCCCUAAAGGAUAUCACAGCUGAUAUGUCAGGCUACAGUUGUAACUUCCCUAAAAUUAUGACCUUCUUCUAUCGUUGAUGUUGUCACCACGUGGUAAUGAAAUCUUAGGAUAUUAUAAAUAGUUUGGUAUUUGAUUCUCAUAUUUAAUAAUGAAUCUAGAGAUUUCAGGGAAGAAAUAAAGUUGAUAUUGUUUGGAUAUUUGUUCCCUUUAAAUGUCAUCUUGAAAUUUGAUCCUCAGUGUUGGAGGUGGAGCUUAGUGAAAGGCAUCUAGGUCAUGCAGCACUCCUAGCACCUCCAAGGUCUGCUUUUUCAAAAGAGUCUGGAGCCUCCCUUUAUUCACUUUUUCCUUCUCUCUCACCGUGUGUUGGUUUCUCUCCUUUCCCUUCUGCCAUGAGUGAAAACUUUCUGAAGCCCUCAUCAGAAGCAGAUGCUGGUACCAUGCUUGCACAGCCUGCACGAGUGUAAGCCAAAUAAACCUCUUUUCUUUAUAAAUUCCUCAGCCUCAUAGUAUUCCUUUACAGCUAUGCAAAUGGACUAAGACAAGAGUUGAUCCCCUUCAACCACACAGAAAAAGACUUCCACUUUGUUGAAUUUGCUUCAUUUACAAACAAAACUCUAAUAAUAAUAGUAUACAGAGAAUUAAAGAAUACAAUUGAUCAUAUGCACUGACUUAGAAAAGGAAUGCACAUGGGAUGGCAAAAUAGAGAAGGCUUCUUGUGAGUGUGUGGGGGAGGCAGGAUAGGGUUAUCUGGGUCUUUAAAAAAACACUUGACUUAAGCAGAGAGGGCUAUGAGAGGGCUUAAUAAAAGUACAGAGGUAGAAAUACAGAAGAGGUAUAAAAAUAACAAAUAGUCUUAUGUGAUUACAACUUGACAUAUGUAAUUUAGCGGAAGCAUUUUCUACUUCUGAAACAAAUUAUGAUUAACACUUCCUGUAAUAGGUUUAUAAUUAUGUAAACCUAUUUAAAUCAAUCAUUUGCACAACAAAAUGAAUGAAUUAAUUUGUUGCAGCUGUGUUUACUGAGGCACACAUGUAAAGCAAUUUUAAAUGCUGUCAAGUAACAAUGAUUUCGUUUCAUGACUCACACUAAGUGAGAAAUUCUGAUUUUUUUAAGACAAAGUUUAAAAAAUCAAAAACUUAAAACUCCUGGAACUAAAAGCAUAGAAGAAAAGCUUCAUGACAUAGGACAUGACAAUGUGUUCUCACAUAUGACACCAAAGCACAGGGAAAGAAAGCAAAAGUAGAAAAGGGACUAUAUCAAACUCAAAAACUUUUGUGCAUUGAAGGACACACCUAACAGCCUGAAAAGGCAACCUAUGGAGUAGGAGAAAAUAUUUGCAAAUCAUAUAUAUCUAUACAUAUAUAUGGAUAUGAUAGUAAAUUGUUAUACAGAAAAUAUAAAAAGAACUUCUAUAACUCAAUAACAAAAAUCAAAUAACUUAUUUUUUUAAAUGGGCUAAGGACUUGAAUAGAUAUUUCUCCAAAAGUAAUACGCAAAUGGACCACAGUCAUAUAAAACAAAUAUUUGACAUCAUAAAUAAUUAGGGAAAUGCAAGUUAAAAUCACAAGAUAUCAUCUUACAUUCACUAGUAUGACUGCUAUCAAAAAAAUGAAACAAAACAGAAAAUAACAAAUGUUAGUGAGAAUGUGGAGAAAUUGGAACCCUAGUACACUGUUGGCGGGAUUGUGCAACCACUAUGCAAAAAUUAUAAAAAAUUAAAAAUAGAACUACCAUAUUACCCAACAAUUCCACAUCUGGGAUUUUAACCAAUACUUUUAACCAAAAGUAUUGAAAGAAGAGUCUCAAAGAGAUAUUUGAACACUCAUGUUUAUAGAAGCACUAUUUAAAACACCAACAAGUAGAAGCAGCCCAAAUAUCCAUUGACAAGUGAAUGGAUGAAGGAAAUGUAGUAUAUACACAUACAAUGGAAUAUUAUUCACCCCUAAAAAGGAAAUCUUGUCACAUACUACAGCAGGGAUAAGCCUGAAUGAUAUGCUAAAUAAAUAAGCCAGUCACAAUAAGACAAAUACUGUAUGAUUCAACUUCUAUAAAAUGGUGAUUACUAGGGACUGAGGUGAAAAAGUUCUAGAUAUAUGUAUUACAACAAGUUGAAUAUACUUAAAACUACUGAAUUGCACUCUUAAAAUGAUUAAAAUGAAGAAAAUACAUGUUUUUAACUACAAUUUAAUUUUUUUUAAAUCACAAAUUUAGUGAUAGGUAUGUGGCUUUAUAGAUGUUUUAAUCCAAACUUCACAUUUUAACAAUAAAAGUACUAGGACCUUAGAAGAUGGGUGACUGGUUUCAGAUUAUCCAGUCAAGAUGAAAAUUUAUGCCUUCCAAAUUACCACAUCUUAGGUGUCUUCAUCUGCUAGCUUAAUCCCAGGUUGUUCCUGGACUAUCUCUACAUCAAGCAGUGAAAGCUUAACUCCCUUCAUGUUUUACGAUGGAUAAAUAUGUGAGGUGAAAAUCAAGAGGCUAGCAUUGACCCAAUGUACAUCAUCUAUCAAGGAGACAAUGUUCGUUUGUUCUUUGAUGAAUCUCUAAGACAACAUUGUCAUGAUUUUGUUUUCAUCACACAUUUGCAUUAGGU